rnacentral:rRNA from 1 species
AACGAACGCUGGCGGCAUGCCUAACACAUGCAAGUCGAACGAGACCUUCGGGUCUAGUGGCGUACGGGUGCGUAACGCGUGGGAACCUGCCCUUAGGUUCGGAAUAACUCCCCGAAAGGGGUGCUAAUACCGGAUAAUGUCUUCGGACCAAAGAUUUAUCGCCUUUGGAUGGGCCCGCGUUGGAUUAGCUAGUUGGUAGGGUAAAAGCCUACCAAGGCGACGAUCCAUAGCUGGUCUGAGAGGAUGAUCAGCCACACUGGGACUGAGACACGGCCCAGACUCCUACGGGAGGCAGCAGUGGGGAAUAUUGGACAAUGGGCGAAAGCCUGAUCCAGCAAUGCCGCGUGAGUGAUGAAGGCCUUGGGGUUGUAAAGCUCUUUUACCCGGGAUGAUAAUGACAGUACCGGGAGAAUAAGCUCCGGCUAACUCCGUG